AUUGAACGCUGGCGGAAUGCUUUACACAUGCAAGUCGAACGGCAGCACGGACUUCGGUCUGGUGGCGAGUGGCGAACGGGUGAGUAAUGUAUCGGAACGUGCCCAGUCGUGGGGGAUAACGUAGUGAAAAUUACGCUAAUACCGCAUACGAUCUAUGGAUGAAAGCGGGGGAUCGCAAGACCUCGCGCGCUUGGAGCGGCCGAUAUCCGCUUAGGUAGUUGGUGGGGUAAAGGCCCACCUAGCCAACGAUCUGUAGCUGGUCUGAGAGGACGAACAGCCACACUGGAACUGAGACACGGUCCAGACUCAUACGGGAGGCAGCAGUGGGGAAUUUUGGACAAUGGGCGAAAGCCUGAUCCAGCCAUUCCGCGUGCAGGAUGAAGGCCCUCGGGUUGUAAACUGCUUUUGUACAGAACGAAAAGGUUUCUACUAAUACUAGGAGCUCACGACGGUACUGUAAGAAUAAGCACCGGCUAACUACGUGCCAGCAGCCGCCGUAA
rnacentral:rRNA from 1 species